CUUAGUGGCGGACGGGUGAGUAACACGUGAGCAACCUGCCUUUCAGAGGGGGAUAACGUUUGGAAACGAACGCUAAUACCGCAUAAAAUAUCGGAGUCGCAUGGCACUGAUAUCAAAGGAGCAAUCCGCUGAAAGAUGGGCUCGCGUCCGAUUAGGCAGUUGGCGGGGUAACGGCCCACCAAACCGACAAUCGGUAGCCGGACUGAGAGGUUGAACGGCCACAUUGGGACUGAGACACGGCCCAGACUCCUACGGGAGGCAGCAG
rnacentral:rRNA from 1 species